rnacentral:lncRNA from 1 species
UUUUAUGUAAGCAAAACGUGAGGGAUGGAUUGUAUAUAUAAUAGAACUAACCUUCAAGGAUCUUCGCCAUUCGACAAACAGAGUGUGAAGUCCCAGGAAAACACUUGUUAUUGCUAAAAUGGCGAUCAAGACUUGUUGCAUUUCGGUGGAUGGCAAACGAGUCAUGAGCUUCGAGCAGUUCAAGCGGUGGUUAAAAACAUUUGAUGCUGACAAAGAUGGCAAGUUAAGCAGAAAAGAACUUGAAGAUGCCAUACCUGGAGGAUGGUUUACAAGGUGGAAAGGCAAGCGAAGAAUACGCUCUGCAGACUCCAAUGGCAAUGGCUUUAUUGACGAAAGUGAAAUCAACAAUCUCGUGGAGUUCGCUCAAAAAUACCUGGGUGUAAAGAUACUGCAGUUAAAGGACGUUUAGUUUGGUUUUUUUUCUUCUCUCUCGAAAAUCAAGGCUUAUCGCCCAAGAAUUAGAAUAAUCGAGGUAACAUGGACCCAGUAAGGUUAAAAUACAAAAUUGAAAAUAAACCUAUGGGUGGGUCAUCCAUGAUCCAAUUGUCCCUCCUAUAUGUACAUUUCAUCGAACCGAAGUUUGAUAACCAAUCUGCUGCUGCUGUAUUGGCCUUCUAAAUGUGUGUUGAACUCUAACUUCCCAUUUCCUUGACAGGAUCUCCUUCGCUCUAUUAACCAUAGUGUAGUUAGCAUCCACUGUCUUCAUACAUCCAUCUACAUUCAACUUUGCCCAUUCAUCCGGAGGAUACUUCCAUCCCACCAUGCUCACAUGUCUAUCUCGCAUUUCUGGUUUAGCUUCCUCCUCCCAUGCUCUUCUAAUUUCUUGUACCAUACCUCUGAUGGUUGCAGUGGUAAUGUCAUUAUGAUCAUCUAUCUCUCCAAAAACCGUCUGACAGGUUAUUGAUUAGCCACGGCAUCAGGGUGGCAUUGAAAAUUUCUCCCCGUUACUUCGAUUUAAUGAACAUUUUCCAAAUGCUCUGGGCUGUUGUACAAUCUCGAAGCACAUGCAAUAUUGACUCGACAGAUGAUGGACAAAUAGAGCAGUAGGGGUUACCGGUCAAGUGUCUAGCAAACCUUACCUCAUUGUUCAUCACUCCGUUAUACGCAAUCAUCCACAUGAAGCUCUUUAUUCUCUCGGGUCCUCUCCACCCCCAAAUAAGUCCCCAAGUUGGGUCGUUGCUUUGCUUGAAACUACCAUAACAGUUCCAUGAUCUUCGGUAUUCCCUUCCUCCAUCACCUCUAUUUCCUUGCUGGUUUCCCUUCCUCCAUAUUCUCUUCGUUUGCAACCAAGUUCGACACUUCAGCCUUAAUAGAUUGUCCCUGAUUUCGCGGCUUAUUCCCCUCUUUGGGAUUCAAUCUACUGCUGGCUUUACGCCUUGCCUAUUCUGCCACCAUCCACUGGCCAUGUGCUCGACUAUCUCCUUGUCAAAAAAUCAUCUCAAUUUAAUAGUUUAAAUUAUUAGGUGAGGUCUCAGGAUAUAAUUUAUAUUAUUCUCUGACACACACCUCAAGUGAAAGCCCAACACUACUAAAAAAUUGAUAAAUACAAACGGAAAUACCGAGGGAAUAUUUUUGUCGGUAAAUUUCCGACGGAUUUUACUGACGGAAAUAUUCUCUCGGUAAAACUGUUAAAUCUUGUAGUGCAAUAACUUAAACUGUUAGGUGGGGUCACAUGAUAUGAUUUAUAUUAUUCUCUAACACACUCCUCAAGUGAAAGCCCUUUGAGCUUGAAACUUGCACAGACUCACUUUACUUUGUGCUUAAUUUUUAUCAAAUAAAUGAGGAUAAUAAGAUUCAAACUCGCGACCGCUUGACCAUCAAGGCUAUGAUACCAAGUCAAGGAAUCAUCUGAACUCAAUAGCUUAAAUUGUUAGGUGAUGUCUGGAUAUGAUUUAUAUUAUUUUUUAACAUUAUUCUCUGAUUACCCGGAAUUAGUUGCUCCACAUUAUCUUUUUCCCUCUCCUCUGUAAUAACUAUGCUGGGUCUCGGUGGACAAUAAAUGUAAAACGAACUGAUCGGUUGCAUUCAUCAGUUAAUGCUUGAGCAUUCCAUAAAAAGGCACAUACGUUAAGCUUGACACCAGAAAAGCAAGCAAGAAGUUGAAGAGAACAGGCAUGCUGCAUGCAAGCAACUAGCUAUCAGAUCUGAACCCAUUAAUGAUGAUGAAUGAUGCUAUCCAUUGAACCAAUUAUGACUAGGAUUCAAUUUAAUUGAUAAACAUAUCAACAACUUGACCCUUUUUUAUCUCCAGAUAAUCUACCUCUUUUAAUUCAAGCAUAAUAGUGAGGUUGAACAUACGAGAGCAUUAAAACGUUGGAAAAAAAAAAAUAGAUCACCAAAAUAUCUUCCUUUUUCAAUAGAUUUCUAACCUAAAAAAAGGAAAGGGUUCUUCUCCAAGCAAGAACAUCUGAGAGCAUUAAACUGUUAAAUUCAUGAAAUCAGUGUUCUCCGUUUUAAUUGAUGGGUCCAGCAUGAGAUUAUAGACCUACCAAAUUCGAGGUGGGUUUUGGGAUAUAAGACUCGGAUAUUUGAGCUGAGACUAAUAAAAUAUUAAGCAUAAAGGGACCGAAUAGCCUGCUGCUUGAAAGCUUAGGAGUUGUUUUUUAAGUUUUAAAAGUGUUUUUAAAAAAUUUAAAUUUAUUUUUUAUUUUUUAUUUUAAAUUAAUAUGUUUUUUGUGUUUUAAAAUUAUUUUGAUGUGCUGAUAUCAAAAAUAAUUUUUUAAAAAAUAUAUAUAUUAUUUUAAUAUAUUUCUAAAUAAAAAAUAAACCGCAACCACAAUUCUAAACAUACUCUUAUCGUAGUUUUGAAAAGCUCUGUCUCAGCUAAAAAUUCAAAAGUGAAAGACUCGGCCCAACAGAAGUAAAAAAACACAAAAUAAGAGGAAAAAGAACACAAAAUAAGAGGAAAAAGUUAACUCGAUGAAAACUGAGUCAAAUCUAUUCAAGGUAAUAAAAUUUAUAAAUAUUAUCAAUCUUGAGACUCGAGGUAAUAAAAUUUAUAAAUAUUAUCAAUCUCGAGACUAGAGACUCGAUUUAAAUUCAUUUCAAUAUAUAUAUAUAUAUAUAUAUAUAUAUAUAUGCAUGCGUAUACAAUAUAAAAAAUUUAUAUUUUUUUAUCUUAUAUAAUAUAUAAUAUGUGCAUGCUUUAUAUAUGUAUAAUAUUUUUCAUUUUAUAUAAGAAUAUAAACCUUAAAUAUAAAUUAUUAUUUUAUUUUAAACAAUAAAUUGUAUAUAGAUAUGGUAUAGAUAUAUAAAUUUAUAGAUAAUACAUACAAUAUGAUAUAUAGAAACCGGGUGAAGUAUUUAUCAUCUCUAUUCACAUGCCACGUUUAUUCUCAAAAUAGUAAAGGAAACCUUACUUCUUUUUCGAAGGAUGGAAAAGGCGAACACAAUGGAGGUAGCAGAGACUAAUAAAUUUUGAUUAAAAAGAAAGAAGGCUAAUAAAUUAUCCUUUUCUUUUUCCUAUGAAGAUAAAUGGAUUGCUCUGAAGAAAAUUCACAAGGUUUGAGAUUCAUCCCCUUACCUCUCUUUAACAAAAUAUGCUUUGCCAGCCUACCACAUUAGCAAAAAAAAAAUUGUUGAAUUCAUUAAAGCACAGUUAUUAAACCCGGCCCGGCCCGGCGGGUCGACCCGGUGGCUGGACCGGUCCGGGUUUAACCGGUCCGGGUUUAAUAAAAGACUGGCUGUGGCAACAGCCCGGCCAAACCCGGGCGACCCGGCGGGUCGACCCGGAACCCCGGUGACCCGGGCGAACCCGGACGAGACCCGAUUUUUUUUUUUUUUUUCAAAUGUGGGAUUUGAAACCCAUUAGUAUAUAGACUCUAUGUUUCCAUGAAAAAAACCAUGUUUUUUCAAUGUGGGAUAAAAACCUUUUGGUUUAAAUAUUUCAACUUAAAAUGAUAACAUAGUAUAUUUUCAAUGUGGGAUUUGAAGCCCUUUCAUAUAUAUAUACUAUGUUCCCAUGAAAAAAACCAUGUUUUUUCAAUGUGGGAUAAAAAACCUUUUGGUUUAAAUACUUCAACUUAAAAGAAUAACAUAGUAUCUUUUCAAUGUGGGAUUUGAAACCCUUUCAUAUAUAUACACUAUGUUCCCAUGAAAAAAACCAUGUUUUUUCAAUGUGGGAUAAAAAAUCUUUUGGUUUAAAUACUUCAACUUAAAAGGAUAACAUGAUAUCUUUUCAAUGUGGGAUUUGAAACCCUUUCAUAUAUAUACUAUAUGUUCCCAUGAAAAAAACCAUGUUUUUUCAAUGUGGGAUUUGAAACCCAUUAGUAUAUAUACUCUAUGUUCCCAAGAAAAAAAUCAUGUUUUUUCAAUGUGGGAUAAAAAACCUUUUGGUUUAAAUACUUCAACUUAAAAGGAUAAUAUAUUAUUUUUUUAAUGUGGGAUUUGAAACUCAUUAGUAUAUAUACUCUAUGUUUCCAAGAAAAAAGUUAUGUUUUUUCAAUGUGGGAUAAAAAACUUUUUUAGUUUAAAUACUUUAACUUAAAAGCUUAACAUAAUAUCUUUUUAAUGUAGGAUAAAAAACUUUUUAAAAUAUUCUUUUAAACUUCAUAAUAUGUAUAAUCUAUAUUUACAUGGAUUUUUUCAUAUGAAAUAUUAAAACUUUAAUUUUUUUUUAAUUUUUCCGGGUUAAUCCGGGUUGACCCGAGUUGACCCAUGAAACCCGGGACCCGGCCCCUUGGCCGGGUCAACCCCCGGGCCGGGUUUAAUAACUAUGCAUUAAAGCAAAAACAAAUGAUCCUUACAAGUUAUUCUUACAGGUGAUUUUUUUAUAUAUCAAAUAACACGAUGAUAAUAAAUCAAGGCUGUAAAGUAUUUUUUUUAAAAAAAAAUAUGGUUUUUAGAAAAAUUAAUUUCUAAAAAGUGAAUUAUUUUUUUUAUGAUGAAUAGUGCUAUUUAAAAUGAGUUAAAAAAUACUUCUCAAUAUUUGACUAUGACAUGAAAAAUGAGUUGAAGAAUUACUUAUUAAUAUUUUAUUUUUUUCAAGUGUGUGUAUAUAUAUAUAUAAACAUUAAAUGUAACUAUUUGACCACUUACCAUAAAAAAAAAGAUAUAAAAAGUAUGCAUAUAAUAUAAAUAUUUUAAAUAUAAUAUUAUAGACAUACAACCUUUUUAAAUAUUUUUUAAAUAAAAUCUAUUAAUAUUUUUUAAUUCUUAAAACCUUGUUAAAUAUUUUUUAAGUAAUAUAUUAAUAUAUUGUAUAAUGAAAAAUGGGCUUGAAAUCAUUUUCUGAUCUUUGUACAUAUCAAAGAAAAUGAGUUAGAAGAUAAUACAUUUUGAGUUAUUGAUUUUUUUAAAAAAAAAAUAGUAGAAUUUUCUUAUAAGAUAUUUUUGGUAUUUAGAAAACAUUGAAAAUAAAUUAUUAUUUUUAUGAUACCUAAUUGUAUAACACAAUUGAUAUGAUUUAAAAUGUAUUAUUAUUAUAUAAUAUAACAUGUUUUGUAUUCGAAUGUAUUUCCUAGCAAUAUUAUUUAAAUUAAAGUAUUAUAUGCAUAAAUAUAUGAAAUUGAUAUAUUAUUUUUUAUAUAAAUAUAUUAUUAAUUUAUUAUUUUCUAAUAAUACUAUAUUUUAAAAUAUAUUAUUAAUAUAUUAUUGUUUACAAAUAUAAAAAUAAUAAAAUAUUAUACCACUUUAGUUUUAGUUUUUAAGUUCUUGUUUUUUAUUGUUUUAAAGUGGAAAAUACUUUUAAAAAGGCCUAGAUAAAAGAAAGAAGCAAAAGGUUCUCUGAUGAGAUUGAUGGGACAUCGAGGUUUUGGGAGAGGAAAAUAUAUUGCCAUGGUGUUGUGCUCUUAGGUAUCUUUAUUCAUUAUCACAUCCUAAACCUAGUUUUAUAUUCCAUGGCUAAUUUGUAAAUGGCCCUCUUGCUUCGUUAUAUUGCUUGCUUUACCCAUUUUAUAUUUUGGAAUAAUCCUAUAAGAAUAUGGAGUAUACCAGAGGGGGGGAACUAGCAUGGAACAAUACCUGUCGAGCCUUUGUCGAGCAUAAUAGCUCAAAUAAGCUUAGUAAUGCCGUUGUAGAUGAACGGAUUAAAAUUAAAAUCGUACUAAAAAAGGAAUGCUAAAGGUGGCUAGAGGGUACCGAACUGCCGGAAAAAAUAUAUAUUUAAUCAUAGAAACAGAUAUAAAAACAAAUAAAUUUGUCUCAUUAAUAGUUUUUGGAGUGAAUAUUAAAAGACUCGUCCUCUUUAUCUCCGUUACCUUUGUCCCAUGUAAUAACCUAUCGCUAAAAGUUUCUACUUUCUCCACGCAGACACACGUUUAAGAUUGCUUUAAAGAGAUUCUCAUUCUAAAUGAAGGUAGGGGGGUUCACCCUUUUAUAAGAAAAUUCAUGCCAAGGACUUUGUUUAUGCAAAACGUGCGGGAUGGAUUGUAUAUAAUGGAACAAACCUUCAAGGAUCUUUGUGCAUUCAACAAACAGAUAGUGUGAAGUCCCAAGAAAACACUUGUUAUUGCUAAAAUGGCGAUCAAGACUUGUUGCUUUUCGGUGGAUGGAAAACGAGUCAUGAGCAUCGAGGAGUUCAAGCGGUGGUUAAGAAAAUUUGAUGCUGACAAAGAUGGCAAGAUAAGCAGAAAAGAACUUGAAGAUGCCAUACCUGGAGGAUGGUUUACAAGGUGGAAAGGCAAGCCAGGAAUACGCUCUGCAGACUCCAAUGGCAAUGGCUUUAUUGACGAAAGUGAAAUCGACAAUCUCGUGGAGUUUGCUCAAAAAUACCUGGGUGUAAAGAUACUGCAGUUUUAGUACGCUUUGUAGCUCCGGCUUUAUUUUUUACCUCUCCUCUGUAAUAACUAUCCUGGGGUCUCAAUGGACUAUAAAUGUAAAACGAACUGAGUUACAUUCAUCAGUUAAAGCUUGAGCAUUCCAUAAAAGGGCACGUACGUUAAGCUUGAC